AGCAAUGCUGUUAAACCAGACAACUACAAUUAACUGCAGUUGAUGCUUGAACAUGCUGCCUGACA